GAUUUUUAUUCUCUUUACCAAAUCUCUAGAUUCCGGUGUCUUUCCCUGAAUCCUUAAAUUUGGAUCUAUAACUCCCAUAAGUCGGGCGAAACACACAAUAUCACCAACUACCGUCCUAUUACCAUCUUGCCACAUAUUUCAACAAUUUUUGAAAAAAUCGUUUUAAAAUACAUUCCUCCUUCCUUAAACCACAUUCUUGUGAAUGAGCAAUAUGGAUUCCGUCCUGGUCGUUCAUCUAAUACGUACAACUUAGUACUCUUCUCUUAUGUAUUCGACUCCUUCAGUGAACAGUUCCAAGUGGAUGCAAUUUACACUGAUUUUUCUAAAGCAUUUAAUCGGGUGGACUACUCUCUUCUAGUCAAAACUUAAGAUCUCAUCGGUCUUGGAUCCCUUACUCACUUGGCUUCACUCUUAUUUAGUUGUUCACUCUCUCUACAUCUCUAUUCUUAACUCACUCUUCCUUAUUCACCCCUUCGCCAGGCGUUCCUUAGGAUGCUGUUUUGUCUCCACUUCUUAUCGCCUUAUUUGUAAAUUCUGUUUCUUCAGUUCUUUUCCAUGCAAAUCUUCUUAUUUUUGCUGACAAUAUGACCACAAGCUUCAAUAUUAUCUUGAUAGAUUGGUUUCCUGGGAUGAAUAUCUUUGUCUCUCCCUUAAUAUUCCUAAAUGUUCCUUCAUAACCUUUACUCUCCUCCAAUCACCUUUCCAUAUCUCAUACCACAUCCUCAACAUUCCUGUUAUGGCCUCAGGUGACUCGAUUCGCAACUUAAAAUUCACACUUACCCGUAACUUCUCCCCUUACAAACAAAUAGAAGAGAUAUGUUGUAAGGCAAUUAAAGUUCUAGGGUUUAUCCUUAGAUCCUCUCAAUAACACCAUUUAGUUCUGCCUCUAAAAACCCUCUACUGUGCUCUGGUAUGGCCUAUCAUUGAGUAUGGUAAUGUAUUAUGGACCCUGCUCCCACAUCAUUCUGUGCUAUGCGUGUUCGGCGAAGGUUUCUCCGUACCAUUGCGUACUGAAUCCAAAUUUCUUGUCCUCCCCAUAAUUACUAUACUUUCUUACAUGCUCUGGCCUUUCCGAACCUUACAGAUCGUAGGCAAGCAAGUAAUAUCUAUUUCCUAUCUAAUCUUCUUAGAGAAAAGAUUAAUUCUCCUACUCUCCUAUUUCUCAUCGAUUUUAAAGUCCCAUCUAGAUCCACUCGCUCCCAUGCCCCAUUCCACAUACCACUCUAAUAUUCAAAUUUCCUUGAAAAUUCUCCCAUCAAGCAUCUAAUGUGGAUCACAAAUAAUGACCCCUUCUUUGUCAAUUAUAAAUAAUUAACUUAAUAUAUUACUAACAAUAAUUCUGUCAAUUCUACUCUUAAUUUUCUUUUAUAAUUCAUAUUUUUACUUAAUUAAUUUUUCUUUUAUAUACUGUUUUUUUUUUUUUAUUAUCACCUAUUUUAUUUUAUUGUUAGAUUUUUCUAUUAAUUUUUUUUUUUUUUUUUUGCUCAAAUUGUCAAUUAAUUAUAAGUUGUAAAUCAAUACUGUAUUU